GAUGAAGAACGCAGCGAAAUGCGAUACGUAAUGUGAAUUGCAGAAUUCAGUGAAUCAUCGAGUCUUUGAACGCAUAUUGUGCCCCCUGGUAUUCCGGGGGGCAUGCCUGUCCGAGCGUCAUUGCUGCCCUCAAGCACGGCUUGUGUGUUGGGCCUCCGUCCUCCUCCCGGGGGACGGGCCCGAAAGGCAGCGGCGGCACCGCGUCCGGUCCUCGAGCGUAUGGGGCUUCGUCACCCGCUCUUGUAGGCCCGGCCGGCGCUUGCCGACACAUCAAUCUUUUUUCCAGGUUGACCUCGGAUCAGGUAGGGAUACCCGCUGAACUUAAGCAUAUCAAUAAGCGGAGGA
rnacentral:misc_RNA from 1 species